AACGAACGCUGGCGGCAGGCCUAACACAUGCAAGUCGAGCGAGGUAGCAAUACCUAGCGGCGGACGGGUGAGUAACGCGUGGGAACGCGCCCUUUGCUACGGAAUAGCCCUGGGAAACUGGGAGUAAUACCGUCUGUGCCCUUUGGGGGAAAGAUUUAUCGGCAAAGGAUCGGCCCGCGUUGGAUUAGGUAGUUGGUGGGGUAAUGGCCUACCAAGCCGACGAUCUAUAGCUGGUUUGAGAGGAUGAUCAGCCACACUGGGACUGAGACACGGCCCAGACUCCUACGGGAGGCAGCAGUGGGGAAUCUUAGACAGUGGGCGCAAGCCUGAUCUAGCCAUGCCGCGUGAGCGAUGAAGGCCUUAGGGUUGUAAAGCUCUUUCGUGGGGGAAGAUAAUGACUGUACCCCAAGAAGAAGCCCCGGCUAACUCCGUGCCAGCAGCCGCCGCAG
rnacentral:rRNA from 1 species